UUUCGCGAUCCUUCUCACAGGUGACGCCUCGGAAGCCUUAGCAGCCCGAAAGGGUGAGCCACCGACGACUGAUAAAUAAAUAGGGGUUCUGAAAUGCUAGUCAGCGCAGCCAAACGUCUCUAGGCGUCGCUGGCAACACCGUCAAAUUGCGGGGAUCUCCUAAAGACUCUUGACACCAAGCAGCACUGGGAAACCAGGCUGUGGCCAGGGUAAUGACCUCGGGUAUGGUAACAGCGCAAGAGUAUGUCCGCCUAGUCGUUAGGCGGUAAAUGGAUAAUCCGCAGCCAAGUCCUACGGCCUCCUCCGGGGGGUACGGAUGCUGUUCACAGGCCAAAUGGUGGUGGGUGGACGCCCAGAAAACGGGCGCUUCUGCUUAAGAUAUGGUCGGGCCCCUAGGGAAACCUAGGGGAUAGUCACCGCACGGUCAAAAUGUAGGCGCCGAGUCCAGUGUUCAGGCUCGGUGUCACGGGCGGCCGUGCCCCCUUGAUAAAACAAGGACGAUUUCCAAAACGUUCCGUAGGUGAACCUGCGGAAGGAUCAUUA
rnacentral:rRNA from 1 species